rnacentral:rRNA from 1 species
UGCUCAGGAUGAACGCUAGCGGCAGGCCUAACACAUGCAAGUCGAGGGGUAACAUUUGUGCUUGCACAAGAUGACGACCGGCGCACGGGUGCGCACCGCGUAUGGAACCUGCCUUGUACAGGGGAAUAGCCCAGGGAAACUUGGAUUAAUGCCCCGUAGUACCGUGACCCGGCAUCGGGAUACGGUUAAAGCCUUCGGGCGGUACAAGAUGGCCAUGCGUCCCAUUAGCUUGUUGGUAAGGUAACGGCUUACCAAGGCUACGAUGGGUAGGGGCCCUGAGAGGGGGAUCCCCCACACUGGUACUGAGACACGGACCAGACUCCUACGGGAGGCAGCAGUGAGGAAUAUUGGACAGAUGGUAGAGAGUACUUCUGAUCCAGCCAUGCCGCGUGCAGGAAGAAUGCCCUAUGGGUAGUAAACUGCUUUUAUACGGGAAGAAAAAGAGCUACGUGUAGCUUACUGACGGUACCGUAAGAAUAAGGACCGGCUAACUCCGUGCCAGCAGCCGCGGUAAUACGGAGGGUCCGAGCGUUAUCCGGAAUUAUUGGGUUUAAAGGGUCCGUAGGCGGGCCGAUAAGUCAGGGGUGAAAGUCUGCCGCUCAACGGUAGAACUGCCUUUGAUACUGUCGGUCUUGAGUUAUAGUGAAGUUGCCGGAAUAUGUAGUGUAGCGGUGAAAUGCAUAGAUAUUACAUAGAACACCGAUUGCGAAGGCAGGUGACUAACUAUAUACUGACGCUGAUGGACGAAAGCGUGGGGAGCGAACAGGAUUAGAUACCCUGGUAGUCCACGCCGUAAACGAUGGAUACUAGCUGUCCGGAACCUUGAGUUCUGGGCGGCCAAGCGAAAGUGAUAAGUAUCCCACCUGGGGAGUACGUUCGCAAGAAUGAAACUCAAAGGAAUUGACGGGGGCCCGCACAAGCGGUGGAGCAUGUGGUUUAAUUCGAUGAUACGCGAGGAACCUUACCAGGGCUUAAAUGCAUAUUGACAGGUCUAGAGAUAGAUUUUCCUUCGGGCAAUUUGCAAGGUGCUGCAUGGUUGUCGUCAGCUCGUGCCGUGAGGUGUCAGGUUAAGUCCUAUAACGAAGCGCAACCCCUAACGGUUAGUUGCCAGCAUGUCAUGAUGGGGACUCUAACGGGACUGCCGGUGCAAACCGUGAAGAAAGUGGGGAUGAACGUCAAAUCAUCACGGGCCCUUAAGUCCUGGGGC